CCUCAUUUCACCACAAGAACAGCACAGACCUGUUUGACCACCCCAUGUAAAUUUAUUGUUGCUGCACUUCUUUCAAAACUGCAUGAGACUAAGUCAUGGUUUUAGUUCCAAGAAAUGAGUGUUUAUGUCAAACUUCAGAACGCCUAAAUGCUGCUUGAAGAUUCCAAGCUAUCAAGAAAAUGGCUUCAAUCUCAGUUCAUCCAUCAGUGCUCAGCGACCUUGACAAGUCAAAGAGGAUAACUCAAGCAUCAAUGAAGGAUACGUGGACAGUCAUGGAUGGAAAUUCAUCAGGAACUGUAGUGGAUGAUAUGUCUACCUCUCUCCAUACAAAGGGUGGAAACUAUAAGCAACAAAGUAUUCAAGAAUGGCUUAGUACUAGCUGCAUGU